rnacentral:rRNA from 1 species
ACGCUGGCGGCGUGCUUAACACAUGCAAGUUGAACGGGGAUAUUGAUUUCGGUUAGUAUCCUAGUAGCGGACGGGUGAGUAACGCGUGAGCAACCUACCUUUGGUGAGGGGGACAACAGCUGGAAACGGCUGCUAAUACCGCAUAAGGCCACGACCUCGAUUGGGGAUGUGGUAAAAGAUUUAUCGCACAAAGAUGGGCUCGCGUCCCCAUUAGCUAGUUGGUGAGGUAACGGCUCACCAAGGCGACGAUGGGUAGCCGACCUGAGAGGGUGAUCGGCCACACUGGAACUGAGACACGGUCCAGACUCCUACGGGAGGCAGCAGUGGGGAAUAUUGGGCAAUGGGGCCGCAAGCCUGACCCAGCAACGCCGCGUGAGGGGAGAAGGUCUUCGGAUUGUAAACCUCUGUCCCAGGGGACGAAAUAAAUGACGGUACCCUGGGAGGAAGCUCCGGCUAACUACGUGCCAGCCGCCGC